rnacentral:rRNA from 1 species
GACGAACGCUGGCGGCGUGCUUAACACAUGCAAGUCGAACGGUAAGGCCCUUCGGGGUACACGAGUGGCGAACGGGUGAGUAACACGUGGGUGAUCUGCCCUGCACUUCGGGAUAAGCCCGGGAAACUGGGUCUAAUACCGGAUAGGACCACUGCCUGCAUGGGUGGUGGUGGAAAGCUCUUGCGGUGUGGGAUGGGCCCGCGGCCUAUCAGCUUGUUGGUGGGGUGAUGGCCUACCAAGGCGACGACGGGUAGCCGGCCUGAGAGGGUGACCGGCCACACUGGGACUGGGAUACGGCCCAGACUCCUACGGGAGGCAGCAGUGGGGAAUAUUGCACAAUGGGCGCAAGCCUGAUGCAGCGACGCCGCGUGAGGGAUGACGGCCUUCGGGUUGUAAACCUCUUUCAGCACCGACGAAGCGCAAGUGACGGUAGGUGCAGAAGAAGGACCGGCCAACUACGUGCCAGCCGCCGCGGUAA